GUUCUAAAUAUGAUGUUCAAGUAGCUAUGAAUGAAAUUGAAAUUUUUGGUUCUUAUUCAGGACUGAAAUUAAACAGAAACAAAACAGAGGGGUUAUGGGUAGGAAAGCUUAAAUCUUGUAAAGACAAAAUUGAGGGAAUCAACUGGAGCAAUGGACCAGUUAAAACUCUUGGCAUUUACUUUGGGCAUUGUAGAGAGGAAUGUGAAA
rnacentral:lncRNA from 1 species